rnacentral:rRNA from 1 species
GACAGAGGGUGCGAACGUUGUUCGGAAUUACUGGGCGUAAAGCGCAUGUAGGCGGCAGCGCAAGUCGGGCGUGAAAUCCCACGGCUCAACCGUGGAAGUGCACUCGAAACUGCGCAGCUAGAGUCCUGGAGAGGAAGGUGGAAUGCUUGGUGUAGAGGUGAAAUUCGUAGAUAUCAAGCGGAACACCGGUGGCGAAGGCGGCCUUCUGGACAGUGACUGACGCUGAGAUGCGAAAGCGUGGGGAGCAACAGG